GAUGAAGAACGUAGCGAAAUGCGAUAAGUAAUGUGAAUUGCAGAAUUUAGUGAAUCAUCGAAUCUUUGAACGCAUAUUGCGCCCGCCAGCACUCUGGCGGGCAUGCCUGUUCGAGCGACAUUUCAACCCUCAGGCCUCGCGUCUGGCGUUGGGGCGCUGCGGCCCUCCCGCAGGCCCCCAAAUUUAGCGGCGGAUUCCCCGCGGCCCUGAGCGCAGUAGAGAGUAAAAACUUUAACGCUCCGGCGGCCGUGGCGCGGUUCUGCCUCUUUCCCAAUAGCGCCAAUAGCGCCACCCCCAAAAAAGUUGACCUCGGAUCAGGUAGGACUACCCGCUGAACUUAAGCAUAUCAAUAAGCGGAGGA
rnacentral:misc_RNA from 1 species